GUGCUCACUUCAGUAACAUAUAUACUAAAAACUGGAAUAAUACAGAGAAGAUUAGCAUGGCUCUUGUGUAAGGAUGACAUGCAAAUUCAUGAAGCAUUCCACAUAUUU
rnacentral:snRNA from 1 species